rnacentral:rRNA from 1 species
GAGGGAAUCUUCCGCAAUGGACGCAAGUCUGACGGAGCAACGCCGCGUGAGUGAAGAAGGAUUUCGGUUCGUAAAACUCUGUUGUUAGAGAAGAACAGCGCAUAGAGUAACUGUUAUGCGUGUGACGGUAUCUAACCAGAAAGCCACGGCUAACUACGUGCCAGCAGCCGCGGUAAUACGUAGGUGGCAAGCGUUGUCCGGAUUAAUUGGGCGUAAAGCGAGCGCAGGCGGUCAAUUAAGUCUGAUGUGAAAGCCCCCGGCUCAACCGGGGAGGGUCCUUGGAAACUGGUUGGCUGGCGUGCAGAAGAGGUGCGUGGAAUUCCAUGUGUAGCGGUGAAAUGCGUACAUAUAUGGAGGAACACCAGUGGCGAUCGCGACUCUCUGGUCUGUAUCUGGCGCUGAGGCUCGAAAGCGUGGGUAGCAAACAGG